rnacentral:rRNA from 1 species
CGAGCGGCAGACGGGUGAGUAACGCGUGGGAAUCUACCCUUUUCUACGGAAUAACGCGGGGAAACUUGUGCUAAUACCGUAUGUGUCCUUCGGGAGAAAGAUUUAUCGGGAAAGGAUGAGCCCGCGUUGGAUUANCUAGUUGGUGGGGUAAAGGCCUACCAAGGCGACGAUCCAUAGCUGGUCUGAGAGGAUGAUCAGCCACAUUGGGACUGAGACACGGCCCAAACUCCUACGGGAGGCAGCAGUGGGGAAUAUUGGACAAUGGGCGCAAGCCUGAUCCAGCCAUGCCGCGUGAGUGAUGAAGGCCUUAGGGUUGUAAAGCUCUUUCACCGGAGAAGAUAAUGACGGUAUCCGGAGAAGAAGCCCCGGCUAACUUCGUGCCAGCAGCCGCGGUAAUACGAAGGGGGCUAGCGUUGUUCGGAAUUACUGGGCGUAAAGCGCACGUAGGCGGACAUUUAAGUCAGGGGUGAAAUCCCGGGGCUCAACCCCGGAACUGCCUUUGAUACUGGAUGUCUUGAGUGUGGAAGAGGUAAGUGGAAUUGCGAGUGUAGAGGUGAAAUUCGUANAUAUUCGCAGGAACACCAGUGGCGAAGGCGGNUUACUGGUCCAUUACUGACGCUGAGGUGCGAAAGCGUGGGGAGCAAACAGGAUUANAUACCCUGGUANUCCACGCCGUACACGAUGAAUGUUAGCCGUCGGGCAGUUUACUGUUCGGUGGCGCAUCUAACGCAUUAAACAUUCCGUCUGGAGAGUACGGUCGCAAGAUUAAAACUCAGAGGAAUUGACGGGGGCCCGC